AUGAAUCAGAGGGGGACGACAAAUAAUUAUCAAAUCAACACAGAAAAAAUAUGCCUCACCUAGGGAUCAAACUCACAACCCCAUGAUCCAGAUCUAAGUUAAGUGGAUGGGUUAUUAUGACUGACACCUAAACAAGAACUAAGCACUUGCAAUCUCAUCGGCUUACCUUCAGAUUGCUGGGAGUCAGAUUUUGAGAAAACACUAAAUUUCCCUAUAUGUAGUAGGAAAAUAAUGCAAUCCUUUAUUUCUUUUUACAGUAUUCAAGAGGUGACAUAAAGCAAUAAGGAAGAAUAUCUGUUAGUAUUCUGUAACUUAAGAAGGUAUGAAACAAGGCAAAUUUUGUUUCCUUAACUUUCAAUAUUCCUUCCUGAAACACUAUAGGUAUAAGUUCCUUAAUAACACGUAAAAAGUUCCUUACUUACAACGUCUCCUAAAACAGGAAUAUAACUUCCUAACUUCCAUCUUGGAAAUGGAGACCUCGUCAAAUUCUGUUUUUAUCAAGAUUUAAAAACGUGAUAUAUGGAUCACUCCUACAUCACCAAAUAUUUCUAACAUGAAGGCUUUUCUGGCCAAAAAAAAAGAAGACAAUUCAGAGGUAUUGCUACAGAAUUCUGUGAGUCAAGACGACAGAGUUUGAUACCCUGGCAGGGUUUCAAAAGAAACAUCUAAUAGGAAAGGAAGCAACAGCAAAAGGUCAUUGAUCCUGAGGACCAUCUCCACUUCACUACUAUGGAGAAAGUUGCAGAUAUCGUCACAAGAUGAGUUUUAACCGUCACCCUGCUAAAUUUCUAAAAUGGAUUGGUCCAUCUUUCAAUUUGGGCAGCACCACUUGUUUAUCAAAGGGAUGGUCACUGAAAAUUUAUGGACUGAGUAGUGAACAAUGAAGACCAUGACCAGCCUGCAAGUCAACAUGACAAGAGUUUGAUACUCUGGCGAGGUUUCAAAGGAAAAAUCUAACUUUUAUAUAGUUCAUACAAAGUAUAACAGACAUCUAACAAAUAUACACAAUUAAGUCUAUGUAAUAGCGGGAGAUAUAUCAUGAUAUACCCAAAGGACAAUAUUUUCAGACAUUCUAAUUUGGUAAAAUACAACAAAAUUUUGAAGUUCUACUUCAUAUAACUCCCAACAUCUGCCUGAUAUAAGGCUGUCCAUUAAGGACUGAAAAUAAAUGACUUCUCUUCAAGAAACAGUCUGUAAGACACCACCAACAAAAUAAUUAUAAUGUUUACCCUGCAAGACAUUCUUAUAUCAUACUUAAUUGAAUUUAAACAUGCUAAAAACAUCUAAGAAAACAUCUAACGGUCUUUUUACCGAAGUACAAAAAACAAAGAAUACAGGGAGUGUUACAGUUCUGAAACUGGCAGACUGUUGUUUUUCUAUUUUACUUUAUAGCCUGGAAUGCCUAACAGUAUCUUGUCGUUCAAUUUUAUUUUAUGGUCUGGAAUGCCUGACAGUUGAUGUUUACUGCUGUACAACAAUCCUACUUAAAGUGUCUCAACUCUUCACUAAAAUUAUCCUCAUCAUUUUUAUGGCCAAUUCUACCAGCUUCUAUUUCUUAUAAAUGACAGGCACUUUCAUGUGUUUCAACAUGAACAUGAGAUUUCACCAGGAUGCCGGGUAAACUUAAACAGCACGACUGCGGUAAAACUAAAAUUAUAUUCCUUGCUUUUAUCG
rnacentral:lncRNA from 1 species